rnacentral:rRNA from 1 species
GACGUAGGUGGCGAACGUUAUCCGGAAUUAUUGGGCGUAAAGGGUGCGUAGGCGGCAUGAUAAGUUAUUGGCGGUAAAUCGAGGCUCAACCUCGUGGAAACUAAUAAUACUGUUUUGCUUGAGUACAGGAGAGGUUAACGGAACUCCAUGUGGAGCGGUAAAAUGUGUAGAUAUAUGGAAGAACACCAAUAACGGCGAAGGCAGUUAACUAGUCUGUUACUGACGCUGAGGCACGAAAGCGUGGGGAGCAAACCGG